rnacentral:lncRNA from 1 species
UGCUUUUACACGUCUUUUGUAGGAGUUUGAAAGUGGAAAAACUAGAAAGAAAGAGCACACGGAAGGCUUUCAAGAACGAUUAGAGAGAUCCUCUUAUCCUAGAGGGCAGGAAGGCGGGAUGAAGCUCUGUAAUAGAAGGUGAGGAAGAAUAAAAAAGAAUGCAGACGUCUCCGGGUGCCAUUUCACUGGAAGACCAUUGCCGACCUGACGCUGCUCGAAUUUGUUGGUUGCGAUCAUCUAUCAUUUUCAUUUGCCCCAAAGGCGGUUUCCUGCGAGCUGGAGAUGACCGUGUUAAGAAAGGUCCUGGGGGGCUCCUAAUUAGGGGAAGCGAGUAUGUGGCACUGGGGGAUGGAUUUGGAACUUCCGGCUUGGGUUCCUAGAUACCUAGAUCUGGAAGGUACAGAGCCGUGGGUGAUAGCAUGGAGACCAGGGUCUGCUAAUUCCAAGAUGGGAAUUUGGGGCCCUGGAACCGUGGUCACAACUCCGUCUUCCUGGUUUCACUUCCUAUUUCAUAACCCCUCCUCUUCUGAAACAGGUGUCCUCCACCUAGUGGAGCGCUUCCACCUCCAGGUUUGGAAAUGUCCCAGAUCUUAGACGUCCGGGGACUAGACCAGGUAACUUCCAGAAGGUGCACACGGGGCAUGGCAUGGUGGGAAUUACUUGAGCCUGUGUACAGAGGAAGCUGAACUUGUGUUGGGAAAAGGUGUAAAGUUAAACAGUAACCGCACCAGCAGUUUAAAAGCUAUGAUGAAACGAAUACAAGGCUUUUAGUGUUAUUUCUAAACUAUGGCACUGUGAACAGUCUGGAAAUUUUCUUUAACUUUUGCAUCUCAGCAUAUGAAUUUCUAGUUAG